rnacentral:misc_RNA from 1 species
UCUCCGUUGGUGAACCAGCGGAGGGAUCAUUACCGAGUUUACAACUCCCAAACCCAAUGUGAACCAUACCAAACUGUUGCCUCGGCGGGGUCACGCCCCGGGUGCGUCGCAGCCCCGGAAUCAGGCGCCCGCCGGAGGAACCAACCAAACUCUUUCUGUAGUCCCCUCGCGGACGUUAUUUCUUACAGCUCUGAGCAAAAAUUCAAAAUGAAUCAAAACUUUCAACAACGGAUCUCUUGGUUCUG